CUCCUGAACUGCAAACCCACGAAUUCACCAACUCCCGAACUGCAACCAAGGGAAUACUCAAAACUCCCGAACUGCAUACCAAGGGAAUACUCGAAACUCCCGAACUGGAGACACACGAAUAGCUGCUAGAAGACGAACAGGAAAAGCCCCCAAGCGGCUUACACUCCUGGCAAUCAGUCUCUAACAGCAUACAGUAAAUCCUCCCCCAAUAAUGAGACGACACUUCACUUUGAGGGUUAAGCAGGAACUCAUUUACUGGGGCUAACUGCCCGGCUUUUAUGCAGGUCUCCCACCUGGUGGAGACUCCCCUAGGGGACCAG